rnacentral:rRNA from 1 species
UGAGCAACCUGCCCUUGACACUGGAAUAACAGUUGGAAACAGCUGCUAAUACCGGAUAUGACCUCUGACGACAUCGUCUGGAGGUGGAAAGCUCCGGCGGUCAAGGAUGGGCUCGCGGCCUAUCAGCUAGUUGGUGUGGGUAAUGGCCCACCAAGGCGACGACGGGUAGCUGGUCUGAGAGGAUGGCCAGCCACAUUGGGACUGAGACACGGCCCAGACUCCG